rnacentral:rRNA from 1 species
UAGCAAUAGGUUGAUGGCGACCGGCGCACGGGUGAGUAACACGUAUCCAACCUACCGGUUAUUCCGGGAUAGCCUUUCGAAAGAAAGAUUAAUACCGGAUAGUAUAACGAGAAGGCAUCUUCUUGUUAUUAAAGAAUUUCGAUAACCGAUGGGGAUGCGUUCCAUUAGUUUGUUGGCGGGGUAACGGCCCACCAAGACAUCGAUGGAUAGGGGUUCUGAGAGGAAGGUCCCCCACAUUGGAACUGAGACACGGUCCAAACUCCUACGGGAGGCAGCAGUGAGGAAUAUUGGUCAAUGGACGAGAGUCUGAACCAGCCAAGUAGCGUGAAGGAUGACUGCCCUAUGGGUUGUAAACUUCUUUUAUAUGGGAAUAAAGUGAGCCACGUGUGGCUUUUUGUAUGUACCAUACGAAUAAGGAUCGGCUAACUCCGUGCCAGCAGCCGCGGUAAUACGGAGGAUCCGAGCGUUAUCCGGAUUUAUUGGGUUUAAAGGGAGCGUAGGCGGACUAUUAAGUCAGCUGUGAAAGUUUGCGGCUCAACCGUAAAAUUGCAGUUGAUACUGGUCGUCUUGAGUGCAGUAGAGGUAGGCGGAAUUCGUGGUGUAGCGGUGAAAUGCUUAGAUAUCACGAAGAACUCCGAUUGCGAAGGCAGCUUACUGGACUGUAACUGACGCUGAUGCUCGAAAGUGUGGGUAUCAAACAGGAUUAGAUACCCUGGUAGUCCACACAGUAAACGAUGAAUACUCGCUGUUUGCGAUAUACAGCAAGCGGCC